AUUGAACGCUAGCGGGAUGCUUUACACAUGCAAGUCGAACGGAGUGGAGGACGGGUGAGUAAUAUAUCGGAACGUGCCCAGUAGCCGGGGAUACCUCAUCGAACGAGUGGCUAAUACCGCCUACUAUUGGAGCGGCCGAUAUCGGAUUAGCUAGUGGGUGGGGUAAAGGCUAACCAAGGCAACGAUCCGUAGCUGGUUUGAGAGGACGACCAGCCACACAGGGACUGAGACACGGCCCAGACUCCUACGUGAGGCAGCAGUGGGGAAUUUUGGAAAAUGGGGGAAACCCUGAUCCAGCCAUCCCGCGUGUAUGAUGAAGGCCUUCGGGUUGUAAAGUACUUUUGGCAGAGAAGCGGUAUCUGCAGAAUAAGCAACGGCUAACUACGUGCCAGCAGCCGCUGUAAUUC
rnacentral:rRNA from 1 species